CCUACGGGAGGCAGCAGUGGGGAAUUUUGGACAAUGGGCGCAAGCCUGAUCCAGCAAUGCCGCGUGCAGGAUGAAGGCCUUCGGGUUGUAAACUGCUUUUGUACGGAACGAAAAAGUCUGCCCUAAUACGGUGGGCCCAUGACGGUACCGUAAGAAUAAGCACCGGCUAACUACGUGCCAGCAGCCGCGGUAAUACGUAGGGUGCGAGCGUUAAUCGGAAUUACUGGGCGUAAAGCGUGCGCAGGCGGUUAUAUAAGACAGAUGUGAAAUCCCCGGGCUCAACCUGGGACCUGCAUUUGUGACUGUAUAGCUAGAGUACGGUAGAGGGGGAUGGAAUUCCGCGUGUAGCAGUGAAAUGCGUAGAUAUGCGGAGGAACACCGAUGGCGAAGGCAAUCCCCUGGACCUGUACUGACGCUCAUGCACGAAAGCGUGGGGAGCAAACAGGAUUAGAUACCCUGGUAGUCCACGCCCUAAACGAUGUCAACUGGUUGUUGGGUCUUCACUGACUCAGUACGAAGCUAACGCGUGAAGUUGACCGCCUGGGGNGGUAACGGUCGCGAGUUAGUAACGUUACGAAGAAGUUAGACGGCGNGAGACGNGCCGACGGACGACGACGAGGGAGGAGG
rnacentral:rRNA from 1 species